rnacentral:lncRNA from 10 species
AAAUGAUUCUUAGUCUGUUAAACUGUCUUCAGAAAGGCCCUUGGGUGGUACAAAAAUAACAAUACUAAUGUGGGAACCAUUAAUUUUUUAUUUUUUGAGAUGGAGUUUCGCUCCUUUUGCCCAGGCUGUAGUGCACUGGCAUGAUUUUGACUCACUGCAACCUCCACCUCCUGGGUUCAAGCGAUUCUCCUGCCUCAGCCU